rnacentral:ncRNA from 2 species
CUCUUAUAUAGAGAGGUGGAGGGACUGGCCCGUCGAAGCCUCAGCAACCAUUCUUUUUAAAGAAAAGGUGCUAAUUCCAGCAAAGCUAUUAUGCUUUGAAAGAUAAGAG